CGGCCCAUCAGCUAGUUGGUGAGGUAAUGGCUCACCAAGGCGACGACGGGUAGCCGGCCUGAGAGGGUGACCGGCCACACUGGGACUGAGACACGGCCCAGACUCCUACGGGAGGCAGCAGUGGGGAAUAUUGCACAAUGGGCGAAAGCCUGAUGCAGCAACGCCGCGUGAGGGAUGACGGCCUUCGGGUUGUAAACCUCUUUUAGUAGGGAAGAAGCGAAAGUGACGGUACCUGCAGAAAAAGCACCGGCUAACUACGUGCCAGCAGCCGCGGUAAUACGUAGGGUGCAAGCGUUGUCCGGAAUUAUUGGGCGUAAAGAGCUCGUAGGCGGUUUGUCGCGUCUGCUGUGAAAUCUGGGGGCUCAACCCCCAGCCUGCAGUGGGUACGGGCAGACUAGAGUGCGGUAGGGGAGAUUGGAAUUCCUGGUGUAGCGGUGGAAUGCGCAGAUAUCAGGAGGAACACCGAUGGCGAAGGCAGAUCUCUGGGCCGUAACUGACGCUGAGGAGCGAAAGCAUGGGGAGCGAACAGGAUUAGAUACCCUGGUAGUCCAUGCCGUAAACGUUGGGAACUAGAUGUGGGGGCCAUUCCACGGUCUCCGUGUCGCAGCUAACGCAUUAAGUUCCCCGCCUGGGGAGUACGGCCGCAAGGCUAAAACUCAAAGGAAUUGACGGGGGCCCGCACAAGCGGCGGAGCAUGCGGAUUAAUUCGAUGCAACGCGAAGAACCUUACCAAGGCUUGACAUAUACCGGAAACGUCCAGAGAUGGUCGCCCCGCAAGGUCGGUAUACAGGUGGUGCAUGGUUGUCGUCAGCUCGUGUCGUGAGAUGUUGGGUUAAGUCCCGCAACGAGCGCAACCCUCGUUCUAUGUUGCCAGCACGUUAUGGUGGGAACUCAUAGGAGACUGCCGGGGUCAACUCGGAGGAAGGUGGGGAUGACGUCAAAUCAUCAUGCCCCUUAUGUCUUGGGCUUCACGCAUGCUACAAUGGCCGGUACAAAGGGCUGCGAUACCGUAAGGUGGAGCGAAUCCCA
rnacentral:rRNA from 1 species